rnacentral:lncRNA from 1 species
ACAAUGAACAUUCUGAAUAUAACUAACUUCCUUCCUUCCUGCCUUCCUCCCUCCCUGCCUUCCCUUCCUUCCUGCCUUCCUUCUUCCUUCCUCCCUUUUUUCUUUUCUCCCUUCCUUCCUUCUUAAUAUGUUUUUGGCCUUUUCUUUAUAUAUGUGGCCUAGCAAUAUCCUGUGUUUGGAAAAGUAUAAACCUAAGGCAUCACCUUUACAGAAAAUAUCUUCCACGGAAACAUCUAAAGUGAGGAAGUAAAGUUGCAUUCACAGGCCUUGAACUUUUCCACAUCUCGAUUUUUACCCAUCAUCUCUGCAUAGUUCCCUAAGGCAGCCUUCAAAUGGUGAUGUUUCUUAUAAUCCAGAGUUCAGAAGUGGCUUCUCUUCAAUCUUUCUGUGGAAUUCUAAACCACGUGAUAAAGGAGCUGGUGAAAUAAUGUCUUGCUAUGUUGCCCAGGCUGGUCUCAAACUCAGGCUCAAAUGAUCCACCCAUCUUGGCCUCCCAAAGUGUUACGUGUGAACCACUGCACCUGGCCAAAAAUAUUUUACUAAGAAAAAGGAGUCACCUAUUGUAUGAUUCCAUUUAUAUGAAAUAUCCAAAAUAGGCCACAGAUCAGCCCUGGGGUUCAGAGGGAUCCUGACAGCUACUCCUCAAGAUCCUCUCUGUUGUGAUUCAUCCCCCCGGGGCCCUACAGUUUCUCCUUCCUGACUCUUACAUUUCUUUGGAUGGCAUCAUUAUUUACCUGUCUCCUCCCAUAGUUAGGUGCCAAGCACUGUGGAUUCUGCCUCUCAGUGUCCAGACACCC